UGUAAGCGUAUACCAAAGUUGUUGCAGUUAAAACGCUCGUAGUCGGACUUUGGCGGUUCCGGAAGUGUGCCGCGUCGUGCGGCCGCUUUGCAGGGACUGCUUUUGUGGGUUUCGCGUCAGAUGAGGGCUGUUAAUUCGGUAACGUCUGUACGCAACCACUUUUUACUGUGAGAAAAUCAGAGUGCUCAAAGCAGGCAUUUGCCGUGAAUGUAUUAGCAUGGAAUAAUAGAAUAGGACUCUGUCUUAUUUUGUUGGUUUGUUAGGACCGAGUAAUGAUUAAGAGGGACAGUUGGGGGCAUUUGUAUUUCGGCGCUAGAGGUGAAAUUCUUAGAUUGCCGAAAGACAAACUGCUGCGAAAGCGUCUGCCAAGGAUGUUUUCAUUGAC
rnacentral:rRNA from 1 species